rnacentral:rRNA from 1 species
UACGGAGGGUGCGAGCGUUGUCCGGAAUCACUGGGCGUAAAGGGCGCGUAGGCGGCCUGAUAAGUAGGGGGUGAAAUCCUGCGGCUUAACCGCAGGGCUGCCUUCUAAACUGUCAGGCUGGAGCACAGUAGAGGCAGGUGGAAUUCCCGGUGUAGCGGUGGAAUGCGUAGAGAUCGGGAAGAACAUCAGUGGCGAAGGCGGCCUGCUGGGCUGUUGCUGACGCUGAGCCGCGAAAGCCAGGGGAGCGAACGGG